CCUACGGGCGGCAGCAGUGGGGAAUAUUGCACAAUGGGGGAAACCCUGAUGCAGCGACGCCGCGUGAAUGAAGAAGUAACUCGGUAUGUAAAGCUCUAUCAGCAGGGGAGUAAAUGACGGUACCUGAGUAAUAAGCCCCGGCUAACUACGUGCCAACAGCCGCGGUAAUACGUAGGGGGCAAGCGUUAUCCGGAUUUACUGGGUGUAAAGGGAGCGUAGACGGCAGUGCAAGUCUGGAGUGAAAGGCGGGGGCUCAACCCCCGGACUGCUCUUGAAACUGUACGGUUGGAGUGCAGGAGAGGUAAGCGGAAUUCGUAGUGUAGCGGUGAAAUGCGUAGAUAUCAGGAGGAACACCAGUGGCGAAGGCGGCUUACUGGACUGUAACUGACGUUGAGGCUCGAAAGCGUGGGGAGCAAACAGGAUUAGAUACCCUAGUAGUC
rnacentral:rRNA from 1 species